GCGGAAUAAAUUUAUAUCCUGGUCAGGACGAAUAGCAGCGGUAAAGAUGGUAAUAUUACCCAAAUUACAAUAUUUAUUUAGAACACUCACACUGACACUACCGUCCACCUACUUUAUAUCUCUUCAGAAACAAAUUAACUUAUUCAUAUGGCAAGGGAAGCGUCCGAGAGUUGCCUUAUCUACACUGCACCGACCAGUGCAGAUGGGUGGCAUGAGCCUCCCUAAUGUGAAACUUUAUCAUAAAGCUGCAGUAUUGGCCAGCCUUUUCCCCAUCCAUCAAAG